CCGAUCGGUUCCGGGUUCGAGUCCCGGGCAACCCA
rnacentral:tRNA from 25 species